GUGGGGAAUCUUGCGCAAUGGGCGAAAGCCUGACGCAGCCAUGCCGCGUGAAUGAUGAAGGUCUUAGGAUUGUAAAAUUCUUUCACCGGGGACGAUAAUGACGGUACCCGGAGAAGAAGCCCCGGCUAACUUCGUGCCAGCAGCCGCGGUAAUACGAAGGGGGCUAGCGUUGCUCGGAUUUACUGGGCGUAAAGGGCGCGUAGGCGGACAUUUAAGUCAGAGGUGAAAUCCCGGGGCUCAACCUCGGAACUGCCUUUAAUACUGGGUGUCUUGAGUAUGAGAGAGGUGUGUGGAACUCCGAAUGUAGAGGUGAAAUUCGUAGAUAUUCGGAAGAACACCAGUGGCGAAGGCGACACACUGGCUCAUUACUGACGCUGAGGCGCGAAAGCGUGGGGAGCAAACAGGAUUAGAUACCCGUGUAGUCC
rnacentral:rRNA from 1 species